GGCGAAAAUCCCCGGGCAAUGGGGCAGAAAGUGCCAGUCCUAGCGGACGGGACCUCCGGCCGGGCGCCCCCUCGCGGGGCUGCCGCGGAGCAGCUUGCCAUAGCACAGUCAUGUGACCAGCGCGGAUGCAACGCGCCAACUCAACGGGGUCUACUCUCGGCG
rnacentral:RNase_MRP_RNA from 2 species